rnacentral:rRNA from 1 species
UACGGAGGGUGCGAGCGUUGUUCGGAAUUACUGGGCGUAAAGGGUGCGUAGGCGGGUUGUUAAGUCAAAUGUGAAAGUCCACGGCUUAACUGUGGAAGUGCAUUUGAGACUGGCAGGCUAGAGUUUCGGAAGGGAAAGUGGAAUUCCUGGUGUAGGGGUGAAAUCCGUAGAUAUCAGGAGGAAUACCGGUGGCGAAGGCGACUUUCUGGACGAAUACUGACGCUGAGGCCCGAAAGCGUGGGGAGCAAACAGG